CAGACAAGAAGACGAGACCUUCGCGAACCGCUAGGGAUUCCGCCAUUGAAGCCGAGCCCACGCGAGCUCGCUUCGCGAAGCCAGCGACGAGAGAACCCCUCGACCGUCUCCGCAAACGCCGGGGAUUGAGGCCUCCGAUUUGUCGCCUGCCCAUGGGGCAUCAGGCAUCGGCGUUUCGCUUCCGGGAGCGUCGGCCAAGCGGCUUCCGCUUCUCGGGCGUCGUCCGCGAUCGACUGAGGAACGAUCUCGUGCGCUUGAAAGACAAAGGAAUUCCGGGUUUUCCAGAUCAACCUGUGUAUGCCCACGAAAAGAUCUCGCCCAAGAGCAUCAGAUCCCUCGGGUAAAAAGCUGUUCCACCCUUUCCAGGGCUUUUCAGCAUAGGGGACAAAUCGGAUCAGGUAUCAUCUUCCGUUUGUGCAGGUUUUCCUUUGUGGGUCGUGGCAUUCUGACACGCACUCCACAUGCCUUUGGGUAGGAAUUCAACUGCCAAAUGAUAUACCAUAGCGUGCGGGGUGGCUUAGAUUUAUGGCUUGACUCGGUGCAAAACAGUAUUGGCUGGUAGAAACGUACCCUUGGAUAGGAAUUUACCUGCCAAAUGUGCCUUUUGAAUUUUCGUGUGCGCAGCUGGAACCAAUUACGAAUUACUAUGUUUGGUGUUGGUUUUCACCUUCCUUGGGCCAUCUUCUGGGUUGGCCAAAUUUAAGAUGUCUUCGUACUUCGAGAAAAACUUUAUUUUGACAAUAAGCUCGCUGAAAUCAGAGUUCAGUGAAGAAAGAGAUGACGUGACCAAAUUCGAUGCGCGAGCUGCCCCAUACGAGGACAACGAUGACUAUUCUGCUCUAGGCAAGCUUUUCGUUGACGCAUAGUGGUUGUUAUGUUGCUGAAUGAGUGUGUAGAUUAGUCAGGUCUUAGCUAAGAAAGUUAUUUACUCGAUUUUUUCAUAUCCUUUCCUUGUUUAAUUGAUAGAAUUUUGAGUUUGGGCUCGAGUUGUUUUCUUUGUUUAGUUUUGGUAAUUUCCUUGUUUCUUCUGCAAUUCUUUCUUGCUUUCUUGUUUUGUUUUCUGUGUCUUUUUCUUUUCACCAUGAGUUGUGCGUUUUUAGGAUGCAAUCUCCAGGUGGUCUGCCCUCAGAGUGCAGGUGUUUGGUGUACCCUUAUGAUAAUUCUGAACUUCAAAUUGUGAUUCCAUGGGUUAAAGUUAUGAUAAUUGGUUGCUUUUGUUGGAUAUGAGUUAGCAAGUAGGAAAUUCUGUCACAGAAUUUUGGUUUUAGUUCCUCCUGGGGUUGGACUUUGUUACCCUACGCAUUUGGUUUGGGCAUUUCAUUGGAUCAAUAUAUUAAGUUUUGAUGCUUUAGCUGGAAUACUGAGGCAAAAGAAAAUUAGAAAGAAAUUGAGACGAGAGAUGAGAAUAAUAUGAUUGAGAGAGCUGAUAUGAAUGAGGAGAAGAAGAAGAAGGCAUUUGUCACGAGAAUGUAACAUAUUGGUUGUGGUGUACUUAUGGAGCAUGUUUGAUAUCCAAGAUGGACUCAUUCCCAACAGUUUGAUCGUUGAGGAUAAAGGGCUGUUUAAUAUUGUGUUGGAGUUUCAAUGCAAGAGCUGGAAUCCUAACUAUACAUCUUAUAGAUAUUCUGCAUGUCGUACUUGUCAUUGCCCUCCUCCUUUCUGAAUUAUCUUGGAAUUCAUGCAAGCCUCAACUUACAGACAAAGUGGAUUAUGAACGAAUAUGCUUCAUACACGUCCACUGACAACUUCAGAUUCUAACUUUGCUAACUAACUCUUUUCCCACCCACCGACAUCUCUACAACUCAAUUAGGUCCUGCUCAUCUCUGGCUCCUGUCUUCAUCUCGCAGCAAAUUCUUAACCUUUUUCUCUUCAGUUGUGUAGUCACAGGAGGACCAGCUGCGACUGUUAAGCAGUUCAUUGUCUUCUGAGGAUGGACUGAGCAGGAGGUUAAGAGGGAGGUUGAAUGAGUCUAUUCCAAAUGAUUAUGUUGCUCCACUUCAGAAGUCAGGGUCUUUAGUUCUGCAGAGCUGAAAGUUGCAACAAGAAGCUUCAGAUCUGAUACAAUUCUCGGCAAGGGUGGUUUUGGUAGUCUUCAAAGGCUGCCUUGAUGACAAGGGGUCUUCCCAUGGCAAAAGAAUUACUCCAAUUGCCAUAAAAAAAUUGAACCCAAAGAGCAUGCAAGGAUCUAAAGAGUGGAAGGUAAUCUUAGUUCCUCUCAGGAAAGCUCGGUUUGCAUGUGCUUUGCAGUAUUCAAUGAUAAUCGCCAUUGCAUUUUUAGCAAGAAGUUCUAUUAUGAUGGUGGGAGAAGAAUUGUGUCCAGAUACAUAGUUUGUUGUAGAAAAAUGAGUAUGAGAUGAUAGAUGUCGGUGGCCUUUUUUGUCGCUAGAUUGUUCUGGUUUUGUGUGGCUAAUUUCAUAUGAGGUUCACUAUCUCAUCUUGCUUUCUUCCUUUUGAGAAUAUAUGUUGUUGCCCAACUGAACACAUAUUUCUGGGAGCUAGAUUGACAAUAUGGACCAUAUUAUUCUGUUAGGAUUGCGAUUAUUUAGGAAAGGACGGUGCUUGCUCCUCUUAUUCUUUAUUGUAGGGUCCUUGACUUGUCCCAUGACCACGAGCAAUUCUAUGCAAGAGCUUGGAGAGAAGUCAGCUUGCUUUUCCAUUGUAUGGUUUCAAGUCCACAUAAAAACAUUAAGAAAUCUUGUGAGAUUUUGUUUUCAAGGACUUCUGAAGUUCGUGUAAGUAUUUUCCAGACAUGCAAUAGAAGAGUAAAAAUUUGCUUAUCCUACGUCUGGAGCCAUUAAUUUUGCGGUGUUUAUUUUCUCUCUAUUCAAAAUCAAACAGCAGGCACAGAGCCGGGUGAAAUGCAUGGCUCAUUUAAGAUUCCGUACGCAUGUACCAUUGGAGAUGCAAGUAGUCAAAAAAUUCUGAAAAGAGCUGUUUUCACUAAUUUGCUGAACAGUUUGUCAGGAUGUAAAGUGAUGAGACACAAAUGUUUAAGGCAUUUCUGUUUUGGAAAGCACGUUUCAAUGGCUGUCUCAGGAUGUGUGGAUGAGAAGGCAAGGUGCUGUAAAUCCUAGGAUCAUUUGACAGAAAGCUCAACCAAACAGCAUGGAAGUGGAGGAAUCAAGUGGGAGGAGAGAAGCUUCGCCAGCUUAGCUUUGCCAGCUAAGCUUCUAUAUCUCUAAGGUUCUUGAGAGUCGGUGGUGAACUUUCUCUCAUCCGAACAUUGUCAGGCUAAUGGGAUACUGUUUAGAGGAUAAAGAACUACUUCUUGUCCAUGAGUUCAUGCCAAAGGGUACCCUAAAGAACCAUCUCUUUGGAAUUAAGGGGGCCUCGGCCAUUAAACCACUUCCAUGGGUCACAUGGCUUAAAUUUGCAAUAAGAGCAGCCAGGCCUCACGUUCUUGCACCAGUUAGACGGUCAAAUAAUCUGCAGAGAUUUCAAGCCCUCAAAACAUAUUGCUGGACUCAGUUUUCACAUAUAACACGGGAGCUAUUAUUGCAAAGCAUCUUCAAAACCUGGUUCGCCACCUGAGUAUGUUUUCCUUAUAUUUUGGUCCGGGGGCUUUGUUGUUAUGAUCAUCUAAAAAUGCACAUUCCCAAGCUGCUCUUUUCAUAGUUAGUUUAUAAUACCAGUCAUUAGCCCGAGCUAAGCUUAUUAAAUCUGUGCAUUGUCCAA